CUGGAGAAGAAAUGGUGAAUCUAAGCCACCCGAGGCACAGCUCAACUGGUGGAUCAAUCAACAUUUGUCUUGCUUCCAGCGGCAGGGUGGAGGUUCGAAUCUUGGUGGGAACCUGCGGUCAGAUUUAUUUGGUAUGGAGCAAUCACUUUGGAGGAGGAUCUCUUGUGCGCAGAAGUGUACAUGCGGUGGGGGGAACCUGUGAUCCAGUUGAGGCAUAACUCGCGAUUUACCCCCUCCAAGGUUCUAGGGGCAAGGAUCUUGGAGGGUCCAGAAUUUAGUCUAGUGUAAGUUGGGAUACCUGG
rnacentral:lncRNA from 1 species